GGCCGGUGAUGUAAGAAAAUAUUUGCUACUCUUGAAGAAAAUUUAUUAAAUUUUCGUGUGAUCAUUCCUUAUCCACCAAGAUCUCUGUGGCC